rnacentral:lncRNA from 1 species
UGCCAUGAUAUUGUACGUUGGAAUUAUUGUGACCGUGAAAGUCAAUAAUUUCAACAUACAGUGUAACUUAUAACAUGAAGAAAUAUUAGCACAUAUGAGCAGACCUUUUAACUUGUGUACAAGUUUAUUUAUUUCAAAAAACGAUUAGCGCUUUCGGCCUUUUUAGCCAUCCUCAGCUCUUACAGAAUAUUUAAAGAACGAUUUUUUAGAACAUUAGAACAGAAAACAAAUAUUCAAAAUUGUGUUCUUAAGCAGUAACAAUAAUCCGCUAGUCUCAAAACAGUCCCAGCCUGCUUAUACCAAUACAGGUUUUUUCUGGAAAAAAUACCACAAGCGCACCAAAAUAUGGAUUUAUACAGAGAUCUUGCAGACAUUUUAUGCAAUAAAUCCUAUUUCGAAUUCAAACAUAAGUUUCAUCGUCAGACAGAGAGUGUGCCUACUGGUAGCCCUUUAGCAGGCGUACUAGCAGAGCUAGUGCUCAGAGUUCUAGACACUUCCAGCUUAGAACCAAUCAUCAAAGAAGCAAAACUCUAUUCAAGGUACGUAGACGAUGUAUUGUGAUAUGGCCCUCAGAAGAUAAGGUGCACCCGCUUGAAGAGAAAUUUACGCUCCCAGCUUAUAGCCUUAAGCUCAAAUUAGACCAAAAGAGUUCCGACAGAGCGCACUUUCUAGAUGUAGAUAUAACUAUAAGACUAGAAUGCCUUUGCCACCAAGGUUUAUAAAAAACCGACUGGAGCAACAAUUCUUAUCCCUGAAUGGUCUAAUGAUACAUGGCGGAACAAAAGGGCAGCUCUAAGGUCCCUCCUCGAUAGGGCUUUCUCUCAUUGCAAAUUUCCGAUUAUCAGGAUGGCGGAUGACCGAUGUUUUUAUCUUAUAUCUGAAAAAUCAGUUAUACAGAAGAAUAAUUAACUCAGUUAAUCGGGAGUCUAAGGUGUUGUUUAAAAUUCGAUGCUAAUCCUGAUUAAUUCCAGCUUUUUAUUGAAGAUAGAAAUUUAUUAAUUAGUUUAAAGAAGAAUGAAUUUAAAGUAGAAUUUAGAAAUUGAGUCAUGAGAAUAGUUAUGAUCAGUGAUGAUCUUUAGGGGGCUGGAGAGAACUGGCGCAAGUUUCUUGUUAAAUUUGUCUUUAAUUUUCCUGCCUCUUGUUCUUUUGCAUGUCUGUUCAUUUAUUCCAAGAAAACACGUCUUGCGUGCCAUAAUCAUACUUUGACGUACAUUAGUCUUUCUCUCCUCGUAUUUGAGUAUUUGAAUGUAUAUCUCGAAUAGUGGUCAUCGGGCCAUAAUGCCCUCCGAAGCAGGAUAGAAGGGUAGGGACUUAGCGCGAAAAAAGUUUUGAAUCUUGGGAAGGGUAAGAAUUAGAGUUUGGCCUGGUUUUGUUCAAGUUCGGAAAAUCGCGUUGUAGAUAACCUAAAAUUUAAUGAGAAGAGACCUUUAAGAGAAUUUAAUCUUAAACUUUAUGUGAAAAUAUUUUUGAAAAUCAUGACUCGGUCUAAGAAGAUCAACUGACACGAAAGAAAAAAGAAAGUAAUGCGUGGCAGCUUCUGGCCUAAAUUGUGCUGCAUAAUUAUAUUUACUGGUUAUUUUAUGUAAUUUCUGUGAUAUUUUGUGAUUUUUUUAAUUUUAAAGUUUUUGUAAGGAUCCCGCAAAGUAUGUAGGUUGAUGUCUUAUGGUUUUAUCAGUCGAUAAUCUU